UAAAGACUCAAUCCAAUAAGAUAACUUCAAAGGGAAAACUCAAUCCAUUACAAGAGAGUAGAGGGGGAGAAACAUCAUAAGAUCCAACUACAAUAGCAAAUCUCGCGAUACAUCAAGAUCGUAUCACCUCAAGAACACGAGAGAGAGAGAGAGAGAGAGAGAGAGAGAGAGAGAUCAAACACAUAGCUACUAGUACAUACCCUCAGCCCCGAGGGUGAACUACUCCCUCCUCGUCAUGGCUAUUGCCGGGAUAAUGAAGAUGGCCACCGGUGAGGGAUCCCCCCUCCGGCAGGGCGCUGGAACAGGGUCCCAAUUGGUUUUUGGUGGCUACAGAGGCUUGCGGCGGCAGAACUCCCGAUCUAUUCUGCUCCCCGAAGGUUUUAGGGUAUAUGGGAAUAUAUAGGCGAAAGAAGUCGGUAAGGGGAGCCACGAGGGGCCCACGAUGGUGGAGGGCGCGCCUAGGGGGGUGGGCGCCCCCCCCUGCCUCGUGCUCUCCUCGUUCAUCCCCUGACAUGCACUCCAAGUCUCCCGUAUUGCUUUCUUUCCAAAAAUAACUUUUCCGAAGGUUUCAUUCCGUUUGGACUCCGUUUGAUAUUCCUUUUCUGCAAAACACUGAAACAAGGGAAAAAACAGAAACUGGCACUGGGCUCUGGGUCAAUAGGUUAGUCCCAAAAGUAAUAUUAAAGUGCAUAGUAAAGCCCAUUAAACAUCCAAGAUGGAUAAUAUAAUAGCAUGAAUACUUCAUAAAUUAUAGAUACGUUGGAGACGUAUCACCAUCCCCAAGCUUAAUUCCUACUCGUCCUCGAGUAGGUACAUGAUAAAAGAAAGAAUUUAUGAAGUGUGAAUGCUAGCAGGUGCACAAGUUUGAUCAAUGAUAAUUUCAAUCACCUUUUCUAACAUCAUUAUAUGUCAUAACAGUAGCUCAUAUCAUAAAACUUUGCAUGAUCAAGUAACAAACUAUUCACAUGUUAAAGUAUAGAUCAUAAACUUUCUUGAAAACUAACAAACCGUGUUAUUAGUCAUCAAACAAUUACAAUUCAUCUUAUUUUCAGGAAGAGUCUAUGUCAGAGCUUUGAUUUAGCAAACCCCACAUACUCAACUAUCAUAUAGUCUUUCACAAUUGCUAACACUCACGCGAUAUUUAUGGGUUCAAAGUUUUAAUCAGACACAGAGAAAGAUAGGGCUUAUAGAUUCGCCUCCCAACCUUUUACCUCAAGGGUAAUGUCAACAAUAAUAGGUCAUGAUGCCUUACAUCCAAUUGGAUAUAUAUAUAUAUAUAUAUAUAUAUAUAUAUAUAUAUAUAUAUAUAUAUCAGAAUCUUUCCAACACAAGGUGCUUGCCAAAGGAUAAAAUGUAAAAAGGAAAGGUGAAGAUCACCAUGACUCUUGCAUAAGGUAAAAGAAAAGAUAGGCCCUUCGCAGAGGGAAGUAGAGGUUGCCAUGCGCUUUUAUAGUUGGAUGCACAAAAUCUUAAUGCGAGGGAACAUCACUUUAUAUUGCCACUUGUGAUAGGGACCUUUAUUAUGCAAUCCGUCGCUUUUAUUUCUUCCAUAUCACAAUGAUCGUAUAAAGCUUAUUUUCUCCACACUAAAAGAUCAUACAUAUUUAAAGAGCAAUUUUUAUUGCAUGCACCGAUGACAACUUAUUUGAAAGAUCUUACUCAAUCCAUAGGUAGGUAUGGUGAACUCUCAUGGCAAUAUUGGUUUAAGGGAUGUUUGGAAGCACAAGUAGUAUCUCUACUUGGUGCAAAGAAUUUGGCUAGCAUGAGGGGGAAAGGCAAGCUCAACGUGUUGGGCGAUCCAUGACAAUAUACUUUAUUUCGGAUAUAAGAAAACAUAACCCAUUACGUUGUCUUCCUUGUCCAACAUCAACCUUUUAUCAUGUCAUAUUUUAACGAGUGCUCAUAAUUACAAAAGAUGUCCAAGAUAGUAUAUUUAUAUGUGAAAUCUCUCUUCCUUCAAUAUUCUUUCAUGAAUUGUUCAAGUGACCAAUACAAUGUUUGCUAACCUUCAAUAAAUUUACCACCUCUACUUCUUAUAUGUAAAGUCAUUACUCCCCAUGGGAUAAGCAUAUGAAACAUAUAUAAUUUCAGAUUUAUGACAUUCAAAUCAUUCAACCAUUUACUCAUAGAAUAUAAGUGAAGCACACGAGUAAAUGACAAACUACUCCAAAAAGAUAUAAGUGAAGAUCAAUGAGUAGUUAAACAAUUAUGUAGCUAUGUGAAGACUCUCUAACAUUUAAGAAUUUCAGAUCUUGGUAUUUUAUUCAAACAGCAAGCAAAGCUAAAGAAAAUAAAAUGACGCUCCAAGCAAAACACAUAUCAUGUGGUGAAUAAAAAUAUAGCUCCAAGUAAAGUUACCGAUGAACGAGGACGAAAGAGGGGAUGCCAUCCGGGGCAUCCCCAAGCUUAGGCUCUUGGUUGUCCUUGAAUAUUACCUUGGUGUGCCUUGGGCAUCCCCAUUCUUAGGCUCUUGCCACUCCUUAUUCCAUAGUCCAUCGAAUCUUUACCCUAAACUUGAAAACUUCACAACACAAAACUCAACAGAAAACUCGUAAGCUCCGUUAGCGAAAGAAAACAAAACACCACUUAAAGGUACUGUAAUGAACUCAUUCUUUAUUUGUAUUGGUGUUAAAUCUACUGUAUUCCAACUUCUCUAUGGUUUAUAAACUAUUUUACUAGCCAUAGAUUCAUCAAAAAUAAGCAAACAACACACGACAAACAGAAUCUGUCAAAAACAGAACAGUCUGUAGUAGUCUGUAACUAACGCAAACUUCUGGAACUGAAAAACUCCUACCAAAAUAGGAACAUCUAGAUAAUUUGAUUAUUGAUCUGCUGCAAUUGGAAUCAGUAUUUUAUCACUUUCUGGUGAUUUUUAACAAUUGUUUUCGUGAGCAGAAAGUUUCUGUCUUUUUCAGCAAGAUCUAAUAAUUACCAUCCAAGAAGAUGGUAUAGGUCUUACUUGGCACAAACACUAAUUAAAACAUAAAACCACAUCUAACCAGGGGCUAGAUGAUUUAUUUAUUCCUAAACGGAACCAAAAAGCAAAAGACUAAAAUAAAAUUGGGUUGCCUCCCAACAAGCGCUAACGUUUAACGCCCCUAGCCAGGCAUGAUGAUUUCAAUGAUGCUCGCAUAAAAGAUAAGAAUUGAAACAUAAAGAGAGCAUCAUGAAGAAUAUGACUAGCACAUUUAAGUCUAACCCACUUCCUAUGCAUAGGGAUUUUGUGAGCAAACAACUUAUGGGAACAAUAAUCAACUAGCAUAGGAAGGCAAAACAAGCCUAACUUCAAAACUUUAAGCACAUAGAGAGGAAACUUGAUAUUAUUGCAAUUCCUACAAGCAUAUGUUCCUCCCUCAUAAUAAUUUUCAGUAGCAUUAUGAAUGAAUUCAACAAUAUAACCAGCACCUAAAGCAUUCUUUUCAUGAUCUACUUGCAUAGAAAAUUUACUACUCUCCACAUAAGCAAAAUUCUUCUCAUUCGGAAUAGUGGGAGUAUCAUAAGAGACUUGAAUACUAUAAAUUGUUUCCACAUUAAAAGAGUAAUGUUAAGAAAAAGGGUAAUCAUAAUCAUGACAAGUUUUAUAAAUAUAAUCAUCACUACUUUUUAUAGCAUAAGUUUCAUCACAAUAAUCAUCAUAAGUAGCAACUUUGUUCUCAUCAUAAUCAAUUGAAACCUCUUCCGAAAUAGUGGAUACAUCACUAAAUAAAGUCAUGACUUCUCCAAAUCCACUUUCAUAAUUAUCAUAAGAUUCAACAUCCUCCAAAAUAGUGGGAUCAUUACUUCCUAAAGUUGACACUCUUCCAAACCCACUUUCAUCAAUAUAAUCAUCAUAGGUAGAAGGCAUGCUAUCAUCAUAACAACUUUGCAUAUCAAAACUUGCGAGGCUAAAAAUAUCAUCUUCAUUAAACGUAGCAUCCCCAAGCUUGGGACAAACAUUAAUUUCAGCAAAUAUAUUCUCAAAAACAUCAUCUUCAUCAAACAUAGCAUCCCCAAGCUUGGGCCUUUUCAUAUCAUAAGCAUAAUCACUCUCAUCAUUAAUAGUAUGGAUAGCACCAAUAGUAUAGCAAUUAUCAUCAUCACAAUAAGUAAUAGGAACAACAUCAUUUGGGAGGGAUACCUUUCUACCUUUACUUCUCCGUCUUUUCUUUUUCUUCUUCACAUCAUGUGUGGGUUUAAUCUUCUUUUUGGAGCUCCUUAUUAAUGAGAUUGGUUGAAUAGAAGGCUCCUCCUUGUUACCUGAUUCAUCAUAAGAAAUAAUAGGAGGAUAUUGGGAAGUCUCUUCCCUUUCAUUAGUAUUCUCUUCAUCCUCUAUUUGUUUUCUUUUCUUUAUGUAAUUGGCAAUAUAAGGGUUUUUAAUGCAAUUCACCGCACAAUACAUAUAAAUUUCCUCUAGAUCAAAAUCAAGAAAUUUAUCGAGAUUAAAUUUUGGAAUACCCUCAGUUAUACGUUUCAUUUCUUCAUAACCCAAAAGAAGACUAAGCUCUUUAUGAUGCUCAAGGGUAAUCAAGUUAUCACAAUUUUGGACACGACUUGAUCAUGAAACAAAUAGCAUUGGAGCUUUAAAUGACCAUGUUCAUUGCAAAGUUCACAAGGAUGGCGAUAAAUAUUGAAUCUUUCAGCACAAACAUCUAGCCUUUCUUGCAACAAUGUAGUUUCUAAAUGCUUAUGCCUCUUGCAAUAUCUACCUUCCCUAUUUGGUGUGUACUUGCAAACCCAAUGCACUCCACAAAAAUUGACAUGUUUAUAGGAGACAUUUUCAUCAUAACUAGUGCAAUCAUCAUUAGUACUAUGGAUAUUCAAAGAGUUCAUACUAACAACAUUGCAAUCAUGCUCAUCAUUCAAAGAUUUAGUGCCAAACAUUUUAAUGCAUUCUUCUUCUAACACUUUGGCACAAUUUUCCUUCCCAUCAUACUCGCGAAAUAUAUUAAAAAGAUGAAGCGUAUGAGGUAAACUCAAUUCCAUUUUUUUUAUAGUUUUCUUUUAUAGACUAAACUGGUGAUAAAACAAUAAACUAAAAUAUUCGAUUGCAAGAUCUAAAGAUAUACCUUCAAGCACUCACCUCCCCGGCAACGGCGCCAGAAAAGAGCUUAGUUGACGGGCUGUGAGUGCCGCUUACCUAGCCUCCCCGGCAACGGCGCCAGAAAAGAGCUUGAUGUCUACUACACAACCUUCUUCUUGUAGACGUUGUUGGGCCUCCAAGUGCAGAGGUUUGUAGGACAGUAGCAAAUUUUCCUCAAGUGGAUGACCUAAGGUUUAUCAAUCCGUGAGAGGCGUAGGAUGAAGAUGGUCUCUCUCAAACAACCCUGCAACCAAAUAACAAAGAGUCUCUUGUGUCCCCAACACAUCCAAUACAAUGUUAAAUUGUAUAGGUGCACUAAUUCGGCGAAGAGAUGGUGAUACAAGUGCAAUAUGGAUGGUAGAUAUAUGUUUUUGUAAUCUGAAAAUAUAAAAACAGCAAGGUAACUAAUGAUAAAAGUGAGUAAAAACGAUAUUGCAAUGCGUUGAAACAAGGCCUAGGGUUCAUACUUUCACUAGUGUAAGUUCUCUCAACAAUAAUAACAUAAUUAGAUCAUAUAACAAUCCCUCAACAUGCAACAAAGAGUCACUCCAAAGUCACUAAUAGCGGAGAACAAAUGAAGAGAUUAUUGUAGGGCACGGAACCACCUCAAAGUUAUCCUUUCUGAUCGAUCUAUUCAAGAGUCUGUAGUAAAAUAACAUGAAGCUAUUCUUUCCGUUCGAUCUAUCAUAGAGUUCGUACUAGAAUAACACCUUAAGAUACAAAUCAACCAAAACCCUAAUGUCACCUCAAGUAUCCGUGGGUAUGAUUAUACGAUAUGCAUCACACAAUCUCAGAUUCAUCUAUUCAACCAACACAAAGAACUUCAAAGAGUGCCCCAAAGUUUCUACCGGAGAGUCAAGACGAAAACGUGUGCCAACCCCUAUGCAUAAGUUCACGAGGUCACGGAACCCACAAGUUGAUCACCAAAACACACAUCAAGUAGAUCACGUGAUAUCUCAUUGUCACCACAGAUAAGCACAUGGAAGACAUACAUCAAGUGUUCUCAAAUCCUUAAAGACUCAAUCCGAUAAGAUAACUUCAAAGGGAAAAAUCAAUCCAUUACAAGAGAGUGGAGGGGGAGAAACAUCAUAAGAUCCAACUACAAUAGCAAAGCUCGCGAUACAUCAAGAUCGUAUCACCUCAAGAACACGAGAGAGAGAGAUCAAACACAUAGCUACUGGUACAUACCCUCAGCCCCGAGGGUGAACUACUCCCUCCUCG
rnacentral:lncRNA from 1 species